AGCAGUGUGGCUCAGUGGAAAGAGCACGGGCUUGGGAGUCAGAGGUCAUGGGUUCAGAUCCCAGCUCUGCCA
rnacentral:tRNA from 1 species